rnacentral:rRNA from 1 species
GACGAACGCUGGCGGCGUGCUUAACACAUGCAAGUCGAACGGUGAAGGGACCAGCUUGCUGGUUCUGGAUGAGUGGCGAACGGGUGAGUAACACGUGAGUAACCUGCCCCCUUCUUCUGGAUAACCGCAUGAAAGUGUGGCUAAUACGGGAUAUUCUGGGUCUGUCGCAUGGCGGGCCCGGGAAAGAUAUUGCUUCGGUGGGGGAUGGGCUCGCGGCCUAUCAGCUUGUUGGUGGGGUGAUGGCCUACCAAGGCGGUGACGGGUAGCCGGCCUGAGAGGGUGGACGGUCACACUGGGACUGAGACACGGCCCAGACUCCUACGGGAGGCAGCAGUGGGGAAUAUGGCACAAUGGGCGCAAGCCUGAUGCAGCGACGCCGCGUGAGGGAGGGAGGCAUUCGGGGUGUAAACCUCUUUCGCCAGUGAAGCAGGCCUGCUCCUUGUGGGUGGGUUGACGGUAGCUGGAGAAGAAGCGCCGGCUAACUACGUG